UUUUUUUUUUUUGUCAAUUAUUACUAUCUACCCUAAUCUUACUUUUAAAGUCCAGUUAAGACUGUUGAAGAACCGACGGAGAUUGAAUUACUAUUUACGCACUCAUGUGGAUUUAAAAGUCAGGAAUGAUUUAUUUGUGUUCGUGGGCUCUCUCUCUCUCUCUCAAACAACACUCACUCCAUCUUGAUCUUGUAAUAGAUUGUUGAGGCCCCAUCGAUUGCAUCUGUGUAUGCAGAGCAGAGGGAUAUAGAUAUGAAUUAUAGAACUAGACAGCCAAGCCAAGUGCUGGGAGACAUGGCUAGCUAGCUACACCAUUCACUCUCAUUCCCCAACUUAAAACACUACCUUAUGACCAUCGGAAAAUAAGCAAAUUCUUGUAGAUAAUAUAAUGGCAGCAUUACUUCUAAACCGGCAGAUCAUGCUUUAAACACAAACCUAGGAGAGGAAUGGUUUUGAGACCUUCCCAGCUGUGAGUGCCACGGUUCUUAGUCUGAAACAUUUGCUCUACUUAAUCCAUACACAUUGUCCACAACAAUGCAAGUUGACUUUUGAUCUAAAUAAAUAAAAUCAAGCAAAUUCUUGCAAGUUUUCAAUACUUAUAGCAACCGUCCUGUUAUUCUUUUUUUUUUAUAUAUAACAAAGAGAAUUAACUGUGAUUAUCCAUUUAUUCCUUUAAUAAUUAAUGAUUCGAAUUCUUAUCCUGUUGAUUACAGAUAAAGCAUUUCAUCAAUUAAAUUGCGUUUCAUUGUCAAAGCAACCUACUUUAUUUGCAGCAUCCCUCCCCAAAACAAGCUACGAUAAAUGCCAUUAAAUUUUUUUAUGACCAUCGUAUUUAUCAGGAAAGAAAAAAUGAAUAUGCAUGGCCCACAGCCCAUCACUGUUCAACUGCUCUUUGCAAUGUAAUGUUUAUCCCUUGUGGAGAGUUUCAUAAACACGUCUCCUACGAAGUUAGGACCCAAUCAAUCUGGAUCCAACGAUUUCUUGUGUCAUAAAAUAAUUAUAUCAAUGCCCAGGAGAAUAUAUUCACAUGACUGGAGAUUUUAAAUAUAGUCACCGGCCAAUAAUUCCCCAAAAAAUAUUUUGCAAUUUGACUCCAUCGAUCUCAUCCUUUUUACAUCAAGAUUUUUUUUUUUUACAUACAUACACAAAGAUCAGGGUUUGAAGCAAAACAAACCGUCUGGAUCUCCAGGAGGAAGAGUUAAAAUAUUAUAGUAGAAAAAUGCAAACCGAAAAAGAAAAAAAAAAAAGGGGAAAACCUCGAUAUACUAUCGAACGCUUCUAAAUCAGACCAAAAAAUACAGAGAAAAAAAAAGGAAAAGAUGGAAAUAGACGAGUAAUAAUCAACCUAAUCAGAAGAAAUUUUAUUCUGCGAGUUCAAGAAACCGUUGAAGUUGGUGGUGCACUCAAACAAGGCCUUAGCGUUCAUUUCCCUUUCAAACCUCCAAAUGUAAUUCAACCCAACUAGCAGCUCCGUUAUGGCCGCCUCGGUCUUCUCUUGAUUCGCGAAAUACAACGUUUGCAGCAGAAGAACAUUUGUCUUGGGCGACAAAUUUUGCUGUUCAAAGCUCCUUUCACUUUGCCACUUGAUCAUGUUAUGUGCUAAUGGUGACAGCCAACCCAAUAUCUUAUGCAAAGCGUCCCUCCAUUCUCCAGCGAGAAAUGGAUCGCUAGCCGAAAAUCCUACCCCUUUCAGUCUUGCCCUCAACGACGAACGAAUACUGAUCGGCAGCAAGGAAUAUAAAUCAUCUCUGGCAUCAAUACCCACCAACUGGGGUGACCUAAUCAUCUUCUCUAUGACAAUGAUCAAAUUCGCGUAGUGUAAGGAAAGAGCAGCCGCGCCUAGUGUACUGGAAGGCGGUUUCAUUGGCUUGGAGUUUACCUCAAAGAAGCCGUGAUCAAUGUCCGGAUUAGUGGUGGCACCUUUUUGGUGGUGAUCAUCUUCCGAUUUCGGGUUUUUCAUCAAUGGCCCGGAUACAAAAUUGCAUGUGUUGGGAUGUUCAGAAGGGUAGACAGUAGCGGAAGCUGAGAGACUCCGAGGUAGAGAAAUUGGAUGUCCGUGACUGGUAUUAGCAAUGCCAAAAACAAGCUUUAUUCUAGCGAGAAUGGUGAAUAUUGACUUUGCUAGCAAUAAUGUGGCCGUGUCGAAACUCCGACCCCAUAAAGAUCUUUCUUUCAGGUACUUGACUUCUUGCCUUUGCCAGAGAAGCUUCUGUUGCAGCUCAGUGAUCUUUUGUUCUUUGAAUGUAAGCGUGCCCAGGUCGCGCUCCUUGUUGGAUUGCAGUAACUGAGAUUUCCUCAAACUGUUCUCAACCACCAAAAGCUCGUCCAUCUCCCGAUGAAGCGUGGCCGUGAUGGUAACGAAGUGAUCCAUUUUCUUGAUCUUGGCUUCCAUUUCCUUCCAGCUUAAAACCCAGUGAUGAGGAUCCCGCCCCGUGUUGGAGAACUCCUGGAGGCAUCGAUCGAAGGACCGGAGAUUUGAGUCCUCACAUUUCUUACUCAAUCUUGAAACCGACUUUGCAACUAGCCUGAGAUUUUCCACUAUCUCUGCGCAUGCUAGGCCUAGUAGAAAAUCUUCGUCAUUGGAGACGAUCUUGCGAACUCCUUCUAGAGAUAUUGAUUCGUUGCGAAGACGAGUGAUGCUCUUGUCUGAUAGAGAUUGCCAUAGAUGGAGAAGCUUCGCCAUAAAGCCAGCGAUCUCAAAUGCUAAAACCCCGACGCUUGAUUUCUUGAUCACUAGUGCAGGUUUUGCUGCAGCUUUUGGUACUGUGGCGCUACGAACUGUGUCGAAACUGCUCGAGAUCGUCUUCUUUACCUUGACCAACCAUGUUUCAAGAGCCAUCAUUAAUUCCUUUGGAUGAAAGGGAUGUGAUUAAUCUUAAUAACCGAAUAUGGGCUGUAGGUUUGAUAGCAAUAAAUGAUCAGCUGGGAAAGAUGAAAGAGAUGCUAGGUGACGAGAUGAGGAGAGAAGGAAGAAAUAAUUGAAGAAUGGAGACGCAGCAGAGAUAAGGAUAAUAUUUGGGAAGAAAGAGUUUCCAAGAUGCAGUUUGAGGUCCGUUUGAUACUGAUGAGGGAGCAUCACAAAUAUUUCAACUAUAUCAAAUUUACAAGUUAGCAGCUGCAGUAGCAGUAUUAUACUUUAUACUUAAAACAUUAAUCCUAAUUAACAAAUUAAAUUCUCCUACUGCCAGUACCAGAGGGGAAGUGAUUUUGUAAAAUGCUAGUACUGUAGUAGAAAAUGGGUAUCAUUCAUGCCCACAUGCAAAAGAGAGCGUGACGCAUCAUCUGGCCAAUUGCAUGACUUGUCGACUCUGAUUUUGGAUGCCACUUGUUCACUGUGCAGGUGAGAUCCAGAAACAAUUGUGAUUAGUACUCCAUAAGGGAAGUAACUAUCUUCAUUAAUCGAUUUGUUGUCCUCUAAUUCAUCUACUCGAUAAAUUAAUGAUGCUAUUUGCAAAUUAAGUUGACACAUGAAAACGAUAGCAACAGUGCUAUGCAUGGUUCCUUUAGGAUGCACAUAAAUUAAUGCCUUUCCUCUAAAACCGUCGAAUUGAAUAUUUGAAUUAUACCCGCAGAGCUCUAGCCUUAAUUUUUUACCUUUCGAUCCUUUGGUCAAACAAUUUUGGAGCCGCAAAGAAUGCAUGGAAUGGAAUAAUUAGAUGAGGCAUUUAAGUUACAAACAGAAUAAGAAAAGAAAAAUUAGCAAAAAAAAAAAAAAUGUUUGACAAAUUAAAGAGAGCACAUGAAAAAUACUCGUCAAAUUGUCUUUUCAUGAUUCUUUUAAUCAGUCAAAUUAACUUAUCCCAAAUGCUUAUCAUUAAUGUGCUAUGGUCUAUCAUGUACCAUUUUGCUAACCGCCAGCCUAAUGGCUGAUGGCCACCACCAAUGCAUUAAAGCUUGGUGGGGUGGGAGACAGGGUUCAAAUCUUGUCUCUCACCAAUUUGCCACAUUAAAGUGGCUCUGCUUAAAAAUUCAGACUGGUACGUAGUGCAUCCGUUUGAUCCGAUGGUGAUUCAAUCCCCUCCGAAUUACUCCUGGAUCUCUUCAGUUCCUCCCUCUCCCCCCUAGUGCAGGAUGAUCUAUCGUAGCGACAAAAAAAAAAAAAAAAGUAACCAUUUUGCUGUUCACUUCUCCGUUUUUAAUUUUUCGAAGGAUGAAAUUUCACCCUAAGUAGCUAGGUAUAUUAUUUUCCUAUGCACUUGCGCCCGCAAUGAUAAACUGUUUCUUCAUAGAAUAGAGCUCCAGUCAGCAAUAAAAGGUAAAACAAACAACAUGCACGCCCCCCCCAUUGGUCAUCAUGGUAUACUACUCCUCCUUGCAGCGACUUUUUUAUUUAUUUAUUUAUUAUUAUUAUUAUUGAUUUGCAAUCUGAGACUGGAGAGUGCUACACAAAUUGUACGUAACAGGACUCAGACAUUUUGAUAGUUGUGGGAAGUGAUGAAUGAUCUUGUUGACCCUGAACUAGUCAGGCGAGGGGGAAGAGGGGACGAUCAAUUUCAUGCGGGAGGACUCGGCCUUCUCGCUUGCAGCAUGCGUAUGUGGUUUGACCAAAUUAAUUAAAGCUGGCCAUUUUGCAUGCGAUCUGAUCUAAUAUAACAACAACAACUGGUGUUAUGUAAAUGGUGGAUUCAAAGACAACGGAAAUCUAUUAUAUUCACGUAGAUUUUAGACCAGAACAUGAAGAAGUUUAUGCGGACAGUGCAUAUUAUAUGUAAACCCUCAUGAUUCACUACGUACACAGGUUCACAUGGUAUUCUAUCCAAGUGGGCUUCUCCCAUUGUGAAAUCUUCUACUUCUUGAUCAUAUGCAACUGCAUUUACUUCUUCAUAUAUAUAGUUGAUUGCGUUUAAAAUUAAUCAAGUGUUUCUACUUUCUAGUACUAGUUAAUUGGUGUUACAUUCUCUAUCAUGAGUGCCUUAUUGCUUCUUUCAAAAACACAAAUUCCUCUUAGGAGCUGGUUAAUAAAGCAUUCUUUUUCUUUUCUGGGCAUAUAUAUUAAUUAUGUGGGUGUUAAUUUGUUCAUGUUCCCCCUCCCUGCAGUGUAGUUUUAGGAGAGUAUGAGAAUUGAUGUUUCCAAUUAGAGUAAAGACACUGGUGAUAGUGGAAUAUAUGAACGGAGGACAGGAGUAGGAGGCCAAGGAGGGAGGACCUAAUCAUCAACAAGAAAGUUUAUAUAUAAUUUCUACUAACUAGUGGCUUUUUGCCUGCCGUUUCGAGGGCAUCAAGCAAGAUCCGCGUUCCCAUUGUCGGCAAAUGUAAGGGCACCCAGAUUUCUUUCUUGAUACAAGCGAGUGGGAGACCCCUCUCUCUCUCUUCUUUCUCAUCAGAGAGAUACAAUAAGCCAUCUAUCACACACUCUGAUGGUAAUGUGAGAAAAGAGAAAAAAAAAGUGCAAAACUGGAAAAGCACUUGGGCACACUUCAAAUGCUUUGCCCUUCUGCUUUUAGGGAUGUUUAUUAGCAGUAACAAUUACCUACUAAUAAAAGAGAGUGCAUAUGUUCAGAAAGGAAGAAAAAUAGCAGUGCUAAGUAGAAUCACGAAGGCAGGUGGACGUAGGCUUAAUCAGUUAAUCAAUAGAAACCCCGAAAUCCGAAUUAUACAGGCUCGUGUGCUUGUUAAUCCAUUGGGAUUUGCAGUGACGAUGGUAGGGGAGUAUCAAGAGAGCCGACAUUGCCCCUGUCUGCAUCAAAUUUCAAAGCGGAGUUCUUACAAAGAAUGAUUGGAAAUGAAGCCUCCUUCGCCGUGUUAUCUUUUCUUUGUAUUAGUUGUUUGCUUGCUUUGAACGUAUAAACAAGAGAUGCAGCAAGGGAUUUGUCUUUCUUGCCUAUCUUAUUAAGUUAAUCUUUUGAACCUCAGCUCGAAAUUGAAUUGUCAAAUGGCCAUUGGUUGAUUACCGUCCUUGAUCUGUUUAAUUAAUCUACUGAUUUGGUUAAAACUGCGAAAUUUCUCGUUCAUCCAAACGGUUGAUAUUGUUCACAGUGGUUCACUCAAAACAUAUCAAUGCACGUCUGAUGCAGAUUAGACAGAAGGAUAAAACGUUAAGAGAGAGGUCCCAUAUAUAGUUAUUAUAUAUUCAUAAUCAAAUUUAUGCAUUGGAAGACAAAUGAAUAUUGUCAUCAACCAUAAGCAUAUCAUUUGGUGAGCUUCUCUCAAGGUUUCUUGGAUGCUAAGAUUGCACGCUAACAUAAUAUUCCGUUAUUGGAUCCAUGUAACCACAAAUCAAAUUAAAGACUCCUUUGCCCAUUUAAUCAUUUGUUUCCUGUCUUUAAAUCGCCAUUAAGUAUCGGCUACUUUUCUUCUGAUCGUUUACUCGAAUCUAAGUUAUAUACAAAUGAGAGGUCAAAGUAACGCAUCACCCAAUUUUCUUUCUUUCUUUGUGAGGAGACAGUGAAAAGAUGAUCUUGAAAUCACUAGUUCAACUAUUAGACCAUUCUCAUUCUCCUACUUUUUUUUACAGCGUAUCAUUUAGUUUACAUGUGUGCACAUUCUACCAUCAUUCAUAUUUUACCUAUAGGCGUGACUGCCUUGUCCGUGGAGCUGGAGCAUGUAAUGAUGUGUCUUAAAAGCUAAUCGUAGCAUUCAAUCCAGUCAAACAGAAGUAGCGAAAAUUAUCAGAGUUCUGUUUCAUUGGGGAAAAAAAAAGUUUAAGAAUCAUGACUAAAAUAUUUUGGAACGCAAUCCAUUGCAAUGCAACAAGGUCACACUAACUAAAUUUAUUAAAUAGUGAUGAGGGGAAACAUCUAGAGAAAACCCAUCAAAGAGUCCAAUAUAUAAGUUAGGAACCCAACUAUGACCCAAAAAUUUAAGUCAUUAGGUACUGGACCCUUACUUACGUAUUAACCGCUCUUUCUCCAUUUUUCGGACCAAUGUGAGACAUAAUUCUUUACUCAUGAAUCUAACAAAUCUCCCCUUCAUGAGUAACCCCUCACAUUAAACCCAAAUUUACGCCCUUUUUCGAUCUCACUUUAAUACUCAACGCAAGUCCACGUUAUCACCUAAAGUCACCUCUUUUCUCAAAUAUGGAUCCACUUUUUUUCAACAUCCAAACUGCAUUUUGGACCCCUGCCAACCUUUGGCUCCUUCAUCCAACACCAAUCGGACCCCCUGUCAAACCCAUAGCACACCUGGUCCAACACCAACCAAACUUCUUGUCACUUCGGUCCAUCAUCAAGGAGAGAAUUUUCACCGGUCCAACUCCGAGAAGAAUCCACUUACCCAUGAGUAGCCCAGUCUUCCAAUCUGAAGUUCUGAUACCAAUUUGAUAUGGGAAAAUACCUCGAAAAAGUCCAUCAAAGAGUCCAAUAUGUAAGUCAGGAACCCAACUCUGAUCCAAAAGUUUAAACCAUUAGGCUAAGACCCUUACUUACAUAUUAACCGUUAGGCUCUAUCUCUAUUUCUCGGACCAAUAUAGUACAUAACCCUUUACUCAUAAAUCUAACAAAUAGGAUAUGUGACAUGUAAUGAAACUGAAAGAGAAGGUCGUCUUCAUUUCAAAGAUUUUUAACUUUUAAGGGAGGUCUAACAAAGUAAAACAAACCCUGGGACUGGUUAGUAUAAUUUGGUGAAACUUUUAACCUAAUGUAAAUGACGUUAAUCGCUUAGUGUCUUUUUUUUUUAACACUGCAACUGCUAACCUCCUCUUAUAUUAAGGGAUGGGGAGGAAUCAAAGGGGAACGUUAAUCGCUUAGUAAGUUUGUGCGAGAAUGGAGAAAUAAGUGAUGUGACAUCACCACUACCGAUUUGGUAAGAAAAUUAUGGAUGAAAUGAAAGUUAAUGUGAUAUCUCUGUUUAAACAUUUGGCAAGAGAAAUGAUUCCACAGUGAAAGGACCACUAACACAUUUGACUAAUGCCAUCAUCUCCAGUUUGGAAUUACCAAUCAAUGACGAAGACCUCAGACAGGCUUAAUUCCACUUUGCAGCUUUUUACUAUGCCUAGAUUCUCAUCUUGAUAUCUAAAUCUUAGAAUGAGACGUUCCACUUCCUAAAAUACAGAAUCUGCUCCACUUAAAUAAAAUGCAUCUUAUUUUAGUUCUUAAAAUAUAAAAUAUGUCUCACUUAUGUGAAAAAUUUGGAUGAACUAAGGUAUAAAAGACUAUCUUGUAAAAGACCAAAGUAGGACGAUUAAUUUUAUAUGCACUGUCAAUAAUUAAUCUGACUUUUAAAUUAUAAUUUAGAUUUUGCAUAGUUAUUAAGUGUACAAUCGUAAUAAUAUAUACGCUAUCAGUAUAUAUAAGAUUAACUCUUCAUUAUUUUAGAAAUUAAAAUAUUUCACUUUGAAGUUUAGGGAUUAAAGUGAGAAUUCGAGCAUAGUUGAAGGAUGCAAAGUGAAAUUACUCCCUCAGAUAUUACCAAAAUGGAAAGGGAAAAAUAAUAAACCAAACGAUAAGGACAAAGGAUAAAAUCCGAUUAUGAGUCGAAUUUGGUAUGAUUAAGACCGUACACCAAGCCAAAUUGGAAUGGCCAACUGAGUGAGAACAAGAAAUUAACUGCCAUGGCCCUGUCAUUCACAGUGCACAUAAAUACGAUUGAUCAUGGAAAUUCAUCCAAUUUGGACUGGAAAAUUAGGUAUCCGGAGCACGACUUUGAAAGGAAUGUAAGGCUCUGUUUUCAUGUCAAAAUCGCACUCAUUUCGCUUCACCACUCCAUUUCCCUCCAUCGAUGGGGGACGUUGAGACUAUAGACAAUUAUAUAUGUAGUGUACAUUGCUGGAAUCCCACUUUCCUUUUAAUGCUUUUACACUGGGGAAAAGUCGUGUUUUCAAUGAACAGCAUGGAAAGGGGGCCCAAAACCAAAAAAAAAAAAUAUAUAUAUAUAUAUAUAUAUAUAUUGCAAAUUACUGCUCGCAAUUGAAAUUUCAAACAGCGCACGAGUAAUUUCGAGGGAGAAAGGGGAAUGGACAACGCGCGUGAGAAGAAUGUAAGAUUUUAAUUAUGGGCCUCUUGUUCACGAAAGUGGUCCGGCGGAGGAUUAGUGCUCCACUUUAACUGGACAUUUACUAAAGGGUCAAGGCCCAAUUCCAACCAGGGAGGAAUGGUCAAUUGCUGUUUUGAUGGUCCCUCCCAACCCUCAGUCAGAACAACUUUUGGAAGCAUCUCUCUGACAUUAAGAAGCUACAAACAUGAUGAUGAUCAGAUCCACUGACCAAAAUACUUACUAUAUACUUAUGACUAACUAAUUAAUCUGCCCCUUUCUACUUGCUUAGUCAAGGGAAACAAAGAAUUGCAAAAAAAAAAAAAAAAAAAACAAAACCAGCCCAUUGAUUAACAGCAUGCACGUGUGUAAUCAUGAUCUACGUACAUUAAGGACGGAAUGAUGCAGUAACACGCACGUGCACAUCCCAACCCCCUAUAUACAUACCUAUAUAUAUAUAUAUAUAUAUAUGCGACUCGUAUCCCCAUACCCCACACUCCAAUAUAAAAGGUGGAAUCAAAAUGUUCAACGAAGCACACUAUCCCUGUGGAUUUGUAGUAAGAACAGGAGCUGUUUCUUUUACCCAAGGGGAAAACAAAUAAAGAAGAAAACUAUUCAUGGAAUCCCUGUACAACUAUGCAAAUUUUGUAACCAUGAACAUCUAUGAUCGCAUUCGGUUCGAGCUAAUUAUUUUCCAUAUGGCACGAAACUAGCGCCCGAGAUUGGACGUGUUACAAUAGAUGAUUAGUAAAAGGGUAAAAAAUAAAAAAACCCUCCAUGAUAAACCUAAUGUAUAGAAAAGCGCACAAUGGUUUCAAAACGUACAACAUGACACCUUAUGCUUUGAACUAAAUUGUAAAGGUGAUGGAAUCCGUUAAACUUAACAGAAAUGAAUGAAAUAACCAAAAUGCCAUGAUAUAAUUAAGUAAAAGACAGCUCAAAAAAUCAUUUGUUUUAUUCUUUAGAUAGAGAGAAUUAAGGAUUAAGGAGUAGAACAAGUAUAUUUGUUAAAAAUUAGCUAUAAAAUUUUUUUUUAGGUUUCAAUAAGUCAUUUCCGUUAAGUUUAACAAAUUUCGUCACCUUUACAAUUUAGUUCAAAGUAUAAUAACAAUUUAGUUCAAAGCAUAAGGUGUCAGGUUAUACAUUUUGAAAUCACGAAAAGCUUUUCUAUAUAUUAGAUUUUUCACAGGAGAUUUUUUUAUUUUUUACCCUUAGUCAAAACUAGCCGUGCACAAAGAAGGUAAAAUUGCACUUUCUUUUUUAUUAUUUUUUUUAAUCUUUACGGAUGAUCGCCCGCUCAAUGUACGACUACUUUGUCCCAACCAAUCGCGAACCAUAUACCCCAAUUGGUCAGACACCAGAAGGAGCUCAGAAUAGAGAACAAUAAGUCGUGGACACAAGUAGAGGUUUUAAAAUAGAUGAUUUGAACGAAUUUGGAUUGACUAAAAUGAAUCAACUCAUUUAUAUUCAUUUAAUUAAAUAAAUAUAAAUUAAUUAAUUAAAAAAUAAAUUAAAUAAUCCAAUUACCCAUUUAUUUUAACUUUUUAUAAACUCAUCUAUAUUCAUUUUUGCAAACUAAAUUAUCAAUUUAUACCAACCUUUGCACCCAUCAUCACACAAGAUUGGACAUCACAGAAUCAUUCAGUUGGAGUUGCUAAGCCGAACUCCCACAAAGUCCCACCACAACAUCAAAAGUUAGGCAGACGUUCCAGAAAUUUUUCUCAGCAAAGUGAAAACAUACUCCAAAGAAGCAACUACAUUAUAAAUAAGAUGAAGCUGUCCAACUACAGCAAAGAUGCAACUACAUUAUCAAUAACUGUACAACACGGAUGAAGGAUGACGUUAACACUACAGAUACAAGCAAUGGCCAAUAUGCACAAAACUUCCAAGUCGAAGGUCCUUUGGCAGCCCAUGACAGCAGAAUAGCAUGACACAGAUGGCUCUGCAACUUCUGCUAUUCCUUGCUCACUGUAGGCAAAAUAUUCAACAGGCCUGCUCAUAAGAAGCUGGUCCCCAGAGUGAGUUCAUUUAAGUUGGAUAUGAUCUGCAUACGAGUGGUUCCAAUCUGGUGAGCAAUUUCAAGCUGCUCUUCCAAGGGAAGCAUUUCAUAACUGCAGUUCCAACCAGAAGGCACGGUAUCAUAUGUCAGAUAUAACUUUCUCAGAAAGAGAAGACAUGUCUUGCAAAGAGACCAAGGGCAUCCACAUGAAUAUACGAGCAUAGACAUGGAUAUCACAGUGUAUAUUUGCAGUUCCAAUCAUCAUUCAUGCAGUCCUCACUCCCAAUUCAAUUUCUCCAGUAACAUAAUCUCAGAAACAACGACAACAUCUAAUACCACUAACUACUGUGAGAUAAAACCAUGAAGAACAUGUACAACACAACAUCUAUCUACAGCCAGUAGCUUCAUGUAACCAAAAUAAUAUAAUUACCAAAAAACCAUUAUUGGAAUUUGGAACUUCUAUCUGAUAACAUAACAGUGGGACUUCUAUCUGAUAACAUAACAUAACAGUAACUACACCCAGCACAUCUAGGUAGAAAUUCAUCCACAACAGGGCCCCAUAAAGGCAGAAAAAAUCCCAAUCAUUCACACAAAGGCCUUUAUUCUUUUCAAUAAGCACUAACUCCCAUACACAUAAUGCAAUUUUAUUCCUAUACCGUUGUUAGCAGUUGCUAAUGUACCAAAGAAAGGACACUUCAUAUUCUAAGAUAAGGAGAGACAACGUUUAUCAUUCUUUGGAUUGUAUUUCUGAAAACUCUUCUCAAAGACACAUUCCAGUCAGAGCCUUCUUUUACCACCGGGUUAUGCUGGACUCAUUUUUAGUGGAUCAAUUCACAUACACAAAUAUCCUCUCAUCUAAUUGUCUGAUGUAUCUAAGGAUAAGCCCUUUCACAAAAUGUUGCUCCCAACAAGUAUGAAGGCCCAAAGAACCGAGGAUACUUACUGGCAAAGCAGCUCACAGUCGACUAUACUAUCAGGACCAGGCCUAUGAGCCCUUCCAUUAGAGCGGAAUUGCCGAAAAGAUCUUGGGUUCAAACCAGCAACAUGAGAAACAGCAUCUACAAGCUUUUUCUGCAGUGACUGGAGCCUCCGAAAUGUUAGUUCAUCAAGAGGUGCAAUACAGCCAAUGCUCCCAUCUAGGGUACCAAAAAGUAGACCAAAACGAUUUGUCUUAUCAGACCCAGGAGUAUUAGUUCGAUCAGGGGAUGUUGGAAGCAGAUGCAAUCGCAAAAACUUAGUGACAUGAGCACCAAUAUGAAACUCAGCCCUGGACAAAAGCUUCUGCCCUUUCCAACUCUCUGACAACUUGGGAGAAUAAGAAAAGACCUAUAUAUUGAGAACACAAAACAUUAAAAUGGAUAUUGAGAAUAAGAAUGAGAUUCCUCUAAAAUUGCAUGGCUGGAGAGGCCAUCCUAUUUGACAGAAAAAUGAAGCUACUGGCUUAACUAGGAACUCCACAUGCAAUGAUCUUGAGAACAGAAAACAUUGAAAAAGGAGCAGACAAUGUCUGUAAUUUUCAGAAAACAACUGUACAUGCUGAUAUGUUCCCCCUCCCCUUAUUAGGGUUCUCUGGUGCUCUUUAUCUUCCCUUUCUUUUGGAGAGGAUGUUCUUUAUCUUCCCUUUUUUAUUUGGAGAGGAGCGGGGCGGGGCGGGCCGGGAGAGGGGGUUGGGGUUUACUACUUUCACCAUCUGUGAAAUAUCCUGCCUCAGCCGAACUUCACAUAAAACUUGCAUUCAUCUGAGAUUUAUUCUAGCAGUCAACAAUCUCAUGAUGACACUGACCUGAACAUUCUUUUGGUCAUCUGAAACCAUAAGACUCAGUGUAUUUCCAUCAAUUAAAAAUUCUGUUGCCAGACAAUCAAGAGAACCAAAGUCCUUAGCCAAUAGAUUAAGCUGAGAUCCUUGCUCCUUCCAACUCAAAAAGUAAAUGCUUUUGUGAAUGUCUCCAAGAAGAAUAAAAUUCUUAACCUGCAAGAUUAAUAGCAGUGGAAUCACGAAGUUCACACCCAUGAGAUUGAAAUUGAACACCCAGCACAACUCACUCACCAACAUACAAAUCAAAAGAAUUACAGGGCUAGAAAUGUCAAAAACACUAGGCAAGGAAUAUUCCCAUUUAGCAACACAUUUAUCUGUACUAGCACAGACAAAAAAGGGCCCUAAAUAGGUCAAAAGCUAAUGCACUGAUCAGCGUAAAAUUGGUCAAGCAGAUUAAGAGGGAGAUACUUCUUGAAAAUUAACACAAUUCACAAUAAUCCUCAGAAAAAUACAACUUUCUGAACUACAUAAAACAUACUUGACUCUCCUAAGUUCCUAAUGAUACCUUGCAUUGGAUGCCAGCAGCAUGAUAAGAAAAAGAAUCACAAAAAAGCAAAGAAUUUAUAAAAGCCUAGUCCACUACCCUGAAAUGUUAAAGCCAAAUUACUGAAGUCCUCCCCUAACACCCAUACACAAACAUCUCAUCCUUAGCCCACAAAUGCAAGGAUGGUAUGGGAUGGCAGUCAAAGAUUCAUCAUAAAAUCAAACAGCUAAUCAUGUUUCAGCUGGGAAUUACAGAAUUUUGAGUUAUGCAAGAGUACAAAUGCAAAAAUGAUAAAAACAAAACAGACACCUUUGGAAGAUCAAAAUACAGUACUUUUACCAUUUCCAGUAUCAAGACAUUGCUUAGAUUUUAAGCAGCUGACUAAGAGAGGAGAGAAACAGCUAAGCAGAAGAAAGAGAAGCUGCAAAAAGAAUUCUAAAAGGCUUAAAAGUGAUACUUACAAUAUUUAAGCUCACAACAUAAAGAGGAGGAACAUCGUAGAAGGCAACACCAUUUAAUUCAGAACCCGUCCACUCGUGUAAAAUAAUCUUAGGACCAGAUGCUAUCAGCAAAUGACCUUGGAGAGAUGCUAGAGCAGAUAUGGCGCCUUUCAAUUCUUUGGCGUAAACUUCUGAAACCUGGAAAAAGUCCUCACAGGAUUAAUCAUAAAAGGACAAGCAGAAUCCAGAUCAUUGUCUACUGUCCAGUUCAUUUAAUUUAAUCAGUAAAUGAGUAAAUGCCAAUUGACAAAGCGACUGGCAUAAUGUCCUGACAGAAUCAAGUAAAGAUGGACAAAGUUUAAGCAGUGUCUCAUGAUAAAAGCUUACUAAAAUUUGAGAAUUGUCAGCAUUUCUUUCAAUUGAAAACAAGAGAAUACGCCCUCUUGCUGCAACAUCCUCUCCUUGUACGUAAGCAGUUCCAACUGCCAAAAGAGUUUCAUUUUCUCUUGUUGUGCAAUUCUGUAAUUGUGCAUAACCAGGACAUGAUGAGUUCAAAUUUACAAAUCAUAUAUCAAAACCCCCACCCCCCCAAACCCCAAAGGAAAAAGGGAAAAAAAAGGCAGAUAGAAAAAUAAAUCAGAAAGGGACUAAUAACACAAGCAGACGCAGUCAAAACUCACAAACAAAGUAACCGCUCGUACAGUCAGAGCGUUUUCAGAACUUUGCAUUGGUAUUGUAGCUCUUGUUUGCCAAGGCCCGGAAUUUUCUGGUUCCAUAAUGCGGAUCUCAAAUUCUUCUACAGGAUACAUCCCUUCAAAAUUCACAGUCUCAUUCUCAAGCUGGUGGCCAACUUCUUGAUCAACAAGAGAUGAAAGAACUUGGUUUAGCGGCUUAAGGACCUAAAGAUAAUAAAGAUUAAGCCAAGUUCGGCAAUCAGUCCAUUUCUCUACAAUCAUCAAUCUGCAAAGACAUUAUGGAGCUUUUUCUCCUUUCAAAAUCAUUGUGAAAGAUCAGUCAACUUUGACCACUGAUGUGGACUGUUUCUUAUUGUCUGUCUGCACUACAUUGACCAUUGAUAAGACAACACUACUGAUCAAAGAAAUCAGUAACCACAGAGUCAAGGAUGCACUCACUGGAUAUGAUACUACAAGGGGAUACAAAUUCUUCUCAGCAAAAUAAGUGACCUGAUGAGGAGUCCCCUUCAAAGUUGUCUGAUCCCCAACAUGAAAAGAACACAGAAAAAAUGGCGUAAGAAAAUGGGCAAACCAUAUAAGGUCAUCAAUGCCACCCAAAUAUUUUUUGACCUUAAGAAUUAAUAGGAAUAAGUUUAAUCUGAAGGAUUACAAGAAUAAGUUAGGACAAUUUACCUUUUGUACUGGCCAAUAAUUGUCAUAUAGUAAGGAGGAUGGAAGUUGACAAAUCUUCAGUGUACCCUAAAAAUUAGAGAAAACCGUUGAACUCAAUAAGACGGGAUGGUGGAAGAGUCGCAGGGAAUAAAUGUUAGUGUCUAACCUGAGAGGUAACGUAUAUAAACCCAUGAUUACAGUUCACAUUGUGAAGAACAGUGAAAGCAACAAUAGGUCCAUCACAAAGCUGCAAUGAAAAACUCCCAGUCAAUACCAGUUGUACAAAACAUUUCUUACAAUUUUACCUCCUCAAAAAAAUUUGCAGCUACUUGCUGCGAAAUUGCGCGAAGCAUAACACUAAUCGAAUGAAAGAAUAGCUGAAGCAAGCUUGCAUCAUUAAUACUCCAUGGGAUCUAUUGUGCAUGACAGCAUUUAUUUUCAUUCCUUCAAGGUCUUAACGGACAGGAUUUCUUUAUGAACAUAGAUUGCAAACUGAGUGACAAAAUACUACCAUCAUGUUGAUAAGGUAACAUUCAGGUCCUCUUGCCAUAACAGUUUUGGCAUAAUGUUUCAUACUAUUAAAAAAAAUGUUUCAUACUAUUAAAAAAAAAAAGGAGGAAGAAAGAAGAAACCAGCGUCAGCAAUGUCCAAGCAUAACUAACCUGUGGAUGUAUCCUAAGCCGUUCCCUGAACAUCAUGAACCAAGUGGGUCUGGACCCAGAGAGAAACAAACCUUGGAAUCCACCAACAUUCUUGAAAAUGGUCAAACGUUUAGAUGGGGUUCCAGAUGGUAUCUCGUCCCUAGCAUAAGUGUCCAAUGAGAUGCGGAUGAAUCUCAAAUUUCUAAGCCUAGAACCAUUCAUACUGCUAAGAUUACCAGAGUUCUGGGAAAUAACAGGUUUCUCAUCUCUACUUCCGGUAUCUGAAUUCUCAAAAACAAACGCAUGGUAGCAAAGAAUUGUUCCAUCUGACAAUAUUCCAAAAAGUAAAGGGCGGCUAUGUUGCCCAGCCCACCUAUGCAUGGCCAAUUCCACAACCCCUAUUUUCUGACUAUUGUCUUUCCUUUCUUGUGCAUUCACAUCCUCAAUCAUUUGCACAACUUCCUGAUUACUUUUGGCUGGGUGGGGAGAAAAUGUGUCCAUGAGGAUUGCUUUCCCGGAUGCAAAAUUUUCCACAGAAAAUACACAAGUAAAAUUAGGCACAUCAAAUAUCUCAAGCCCACCACUUUGAUAGCAAACAAUACAGUAUCCAUCCCCCAGAUCAUGGGAGGCACCAUCAGACCCAUCAAUUGCCUCCCCAAUGCCUGUAGAAAGCCAAGCAUCAGUACUCGUCUUCCGCAGCCAUGGCUCUGGGCCUUUGUCGUGAUAGAGUGUGCAAGCAGUUAUUAGAUUCUUUGAGCUUUCAAAUACUUCUGGAUUGGUGGUGGUGAGAGUGCAACUGGAUGGAUCUAUGAGAAACAUAACAGCACGACAAUCAAUUAGCAAAAAAUCAACAAAAUUGAUUGAAACAACAAAUUUUAGUUAAUGAAGAGAUUCUUUUCCCUUUAGUCCUUUAAGUAGGACAUGCAACAUAAAUCCAAGGGUAAUUGUAUCUCUAGUCAAUCUAAUGUAGCAUUACGGUGAUUGUACUCAUAACUAUGCUGACAUAAAAAUUGAUUGAUGCCUAGCCAUUGUAUAGUUAUUCUCUCAGAUUUACAUAAUUUGUCUUUGAGUCAUUCCUUUUUUUCUUUUUGGAAAAGAAUUUGCUUUCUUCCCUUUUUGUCCUCAAGGGAAGAUCUUCCGGCUCAACUAUAAACAAUAAUAGGUCAUGUUAGCAUCUAACUACAUUAAUGUAAGAAACCGUUUCCACCACUUUCUGUUCUAUGAGUUGAAACACCACAAUACAGUGUAAGCAAGUGCUCCUUGCACAACUUCAUUAGGUAGUAGACAGUAGGACAACACUCAGAUGAAUAUUUUGGGAUGCAAAAAGGAUUAUUGCAGUAGCUUAUCUUCGGUUCUUAAAACAAAAGCUCAAAUAUCCAGUUCCCCAGAUGGAUGAGAUGGCAAUAAAGAGAAGUUACCAGAACACAAUAACCCCAAAAGGAGAAAAAGCAAAAUGGCUCCAUAAUAUCCAAAUAGCUAAUUGACUACCCAGAAAGGAAUCUAGAUUUUUUUACUAUACCUCCAAGAAGAAGGUAAAUACUUCCAUCGAUCAUUCUCAGCAAUACAUAUGGAUCAGCUAUAGAAACAGAUGCCACUUUUUGACUUUCAGAACUAGGUCCAAUUUCAGAAUUCGGAGGCCUAAAGUUCAGUUCUUGAACCAUAAACCCACCAUCAAGAAGUCGAGCACCAUAAGCAUAGAUUUGGAUGACCAGACGCCUGUAAACAAUGAAAAUAACCAGAAACAUCACCAUAUUGUACAAUUAUCAACCGAUAAAUUUGCAGACUAAUAGCAGUCAAGGAAUAAAAAAGCUAUAGCAACAUCAUUAGGUAUGAGAUAUAAAGCAUACAUCCUACAAGCCUAGCCAGUGAUGCUAUGCAUUCAGAAGCUAGAAAGGUGAGAAAAGCAACCAGAUGGGUUCACCUUGUACCUCAUCUAGAACUGCUGCAAUAAGGUACCGAUGUAGAAUCAGUAAAUAUCACUACUUAGGGUAGAUAAGCCUAGAAAAGUUAGAACCUGACAUUGAUAGAAAAUGAUACAUAAUUUAUUGUUGAACUGAAAAUAGUACCAUACAGAAUAAAACUUCAAUUUAUUCUAUACCAUACCUAUUCUUCUUAAAUUUCUUAUUAAAACAACUUUAAUUGAUCGUAAGGUUACCCCCAAUUUCAAAUCCUGUACGUGAAAACCACAAAGCCCGCAAAUGAGCUAUGAUGCUAGUCUGUUGACUUAAAAAUUACUGUAAUGUAUUGCCGUAAGUUAUCACAUACUAUUCUGUUAAAUUUCAGAAAUAUAAAAACCCCAAGUACAACUAUUCUGUUAAAAAUUGGAGGAACAUUUCAAUGUCUUGCUGUUCUUUAAUUAUUCUUUGCAGAAUGUCUUAUAACUAUUCUCAAUGAUCACAUCCUUCACAUAAGUAUUUUAUGCAUGUUAUUAGAGAUUGUUGACUUCAUCUUUUAGUUUUUAAAUCGUAUUACCCUUUUCUUCAUUUACAUCAUGUUAACAAUAAAAAAUCGAAGAUUUUACGGCUCACAAACAGAUUUCAUCAAGUGGAUCUAGUGCAAAGAAAAACCUUGUCUUUCUGUUCAUUAUGUUAAUCCACAGGACCUUUUCUACAAUUAUGAAGUAUUACUCCAGUUGAUGUUACACAGUUUAGAUUCUACUUUCAAGAUUUUAGUUGAUUUUAUCUUUUUUUUUUUUAAUUUGCAUCAGGUUGAUAAUCAGAAGAUAGAAACUCUACAGGGCUCAAACACAGGUGUAUUUGUUAAAUCAGAUUGUCAUCAACCAGAAGGAAUGUCAAUCACAUCCACUUCAACUUGAUAAGAUGGGCAAUUGACAAGGAAACUGAUUAUGCUCAGAUGUACUUUCCUGUAAAUUAAAGAUGAGCAUGGAGCAUCCUAAAUUAUACUCAAAAGAAUGAUGACCAAAAAUGCCAACCAACUAGAAAUACAAGAACUAGCAAAUAAGAAGAAGCAAAAAGAGGGAUAGCCAAAAUUUAAUUGAAUUAAAAGCAUAAAUCCAAAAACAUAUCAAUGAUUUUAAGAAGGCAAAAGUUUACCUUCCAAACAAAUUUCCAGCAGCAAUAGUACAUCCUUGGGUAUAAUAGUCAACAUUUUCGGUAACCUCCUCUAAAUUAUUAGCCGACUGCAGUACCUGUUUAGUAAAAUAAACAUGGUGACAAUCGAGAGCAAUGCUAAAAAAACAACCAAAGCUAUGCCCUGAUUUCUUAAGAUUUCGAAAAGUCAAAAUAGAGGUUUCAAAAAGGCAAAAAAGUUGGAGAUGACAUGCUUUUUUGGGCGGGUGGCCUAAAGAAUGAUAAGCAAACUGCAACAUACUUGUCCUCCAAAAAGAAUGUAAUACUCCGACUUCUGGCAGCUUUGCAUUGAAAAAACUCAAUACAAAAAUAAUUAUAGGCCUAAUGCUGGGUUAAAAGGAAAGACAACGCACAGUUCAAUAAUCAAAUAUAACUAGAGAUCAGAUAUCUUUUUAACCCACCUCCGAAGCAAAAACCAUAUUUUUGUGGUGUACAAAAUAUUAUUGUCCAUGCUUGGAUCCUGAAGCUUUAUUAGAGUUCUGGGAGAACUGAUGGACGUUCAUCAGGUCAUCUAGUACAUGUUAGUGGACCAAACCAACAACUUAACCACCCACCCACCCCCUCCCCCAAACCAAUAAAAGGAAAAAGGAAAAAGAAAGAAAAAUUAGAGAAAUGGAGAGGGAGCACAUUUGGAUAAUUCAAAAAAAAAUGCAAAAGAAAAGACAUUGCGAUAUCAUAUGCAUCAAUAAAAUUUUCUGCCAAUGAAGUAAAUUUCUUCAGCUAUCAUAUUCACAUACACAAGGGGAUAUCCAAAAGGAGCAGAAAAACAUUAAACACUAUCAACUUCAAUAAGAAGAUGAAUGAGAUUACCAUUGUACGAGUCUCCAAACUGAUAAUCAAAUAUGCAUGAUAUUCAUCGUCAUCAGCUGUGACCUUUGAUGAAUCAACCACAUGACUGCGUGCAUUCUUGUGGUAUACUGUCCAAACUCCCUUGCAACCUGGUAUUGAUUCCUUUAAGAAGGAUUAAAAAGUCAAACUUACAGGUUGCUUCACAAAGUAGAAUAUCCAGAUAACUCCCUAUGGAACCAAGUAUUGAAAGUUCACAACAACAUUGGAAAAGCUUUUAUUCUGUGAGGACCCAGCUUUCACAGAUGAAAUAUUACAUUCAUACAAACUUUUUCAAAAACAUGUAUAAUUAGUCCUAAAGAACAUCUAAUUAAAUGUAUAAUUCAGACUAAAUUAAUACUGCCAAGAAAAUGACAAAGAGGGGAACACAAUCUCCAUGCCAAGUAUUUUCUUUCUCUUCCCACCAUUUCCUAGAACAGUAUGUCAGUGUGUCUUCAUCUGUAUAGCUCAUCAGCAUCUACAGAUGAAUCAAGCAAAAAUGACAAAACCUAAAAAAAUAAGAAAUUACUUAAGCUACUAACAAGUGUUUAAGAUUUUUUCCUUUUUCAGGGCAGUGUUCUUUUUUGUUCCCCCUGCCAUUGAGCGAGGGGGGGAGUGGGGAAGACUUCAGGCUCUGUACACAAUAGCUAAGUGCAAAGCCUAAAUGCUGCGUCAAAUACAAUUGUCUGCAGUGCUCAUACAGAAAAACAUAACAUCGACCACACAAAAGAGGCAUUGUAACAAAAGAUAAGCCCACACACAAAUCCAACUUGAUCGUUCACACAUCUAUAAAACAUCUAAAGGCGAACAUGACAGAUGUCCAGAGCCAGAAAUUGACUUCCAUAAUCCAAAAAGCAACAAGAAUGACACACAAAACCAAGACUCAACUACAAUCUAUAAUAACAAAGGAGAUAAAAAGCAAAUGCAAAAGAAUAAAGAGUACCCAGUAAAGAAAAAUAAGCUGGACAAAAAAGAAAAUACACGCAGUGUUUCGAUAGAUUUUCUUAUUCUUGGAAAGCAAAACAAGUAAAUUGGAAGCAAAUGCCUAUUGACAAACAUGGGUAAUCAUUUCUGGGCGGAUAGACUUCUGAAGCACACAAAGAGCACCAUUUUUGCCAUGACCAGAGCAGCAAACCUGAAAGAAUGAGAUAAGAUGUAAAUAAGAAAACAUGGAAGCAUAAAAGAGGAAGUUUUGUUACUUAGCGAAGCUCAUAAAUUAAAAUAACAACUUAAGGCUGCUAAGAAUAUAGUAAAGAUCAGUGAAGCAGCAAACAACAGGGCAUUGUCAGGAGUCUAACCAAGCACAAGAUCAGAUUCAAGUAACAAUUCACCCUAUACAAAUGCAGAACAUGGUUCAAUAACCGCAAAGGUAAGGAACCUAACCAGUUCAUAAUUACUUUGCUUAGCAAUGCCAGUAGCAUUUGGGUCAGCAUUGAUUCUCAAACCAUAAGAGAAGUCCUUUAGCGGCCCAACAUUCGUUAGGGAAUCUCUCACAGCAAAAGAAAAAGCCUUCUGCAUGUGUCAAGAGAAACAAGAAUGUUAGUAAUGCAUGAAUUAACCACUAACAGCUUCUUCAUUAAAGUCAAGUUUGGUCAAGCCUAUUAUUGUUUAUGUUAUGUCAAUAGGAUGAAAGUGGUUACAGUCAGUGAAGCUGACAGCUUUGUUCUAGAACUUUCUUAUCACUCAGCUAUAUACUUGUUUCAUCCAAACAGGCCUGGUUUUGUUACUCUUAACAAGAUCUUGUCAUCAAGAUUAUUAAGCAAUAAGAAGAGAAUGGGAAGCCAAAAACCAGACCUGGGCAGACUGUGCAUUGUUCGGAUGUGAACCAUACAAGGAAAGUUCUUCACCAUUCACCAUAUCCUGCAAAGCAUCAGACGAAGACCUUCGGAGCCGCUUUGCUGAAGGGAGAUCACCUUCAAUAUCUCCAACCUCCAGAAGUAAAGAACAUAUUUAGCCAAGCUUUGAGUUAAUAGCUUGCAGAAUGAAUAAUGAGAUUCUGAAUUCAAGGAAAAAAAAUUGGUAAAAUUUUUCAAGGCACUCAAUGAAGAUGGAGUAGCUUAACAGUGAACUGAAAGUUCAACAGUAUAACAGUAAGCUUGUAAAGUUGUAACAAACUGUUUCAUGGCAAGUAAUCACCAAGUUAUAGAAGUACAAGUUGACAGACCUCUUCCUUUGCACCAAGGGGCAACGCUGACACCCCGGCUCCACAAGUAAACUGUACCAGUAUACUGUCACCUAAACGACUACCUAGAAAUACAAAUGAACUUCCAACGGUUGUGAGACCCUAUAAAAGGAAACACGUUAGAUACUUUUGUAAUCAAGUAUGAUAGAAAUCCCACAGUCAAAUGAACUCAAGGCUUACUGAAGUAAGCACUGAAGCUCUUGACUUUGAAAGCUCCAAUCUCUGAACAAUUCUGCAGGGGAAAGAAAGCAAAAAUAAAGGGAAAAGAAAAACAUCAUAUGCUUAAAUAACCUAGAAAGAAUAGACAAAGUCAACCCAUAAAGUACUAAAAUUCAAAUAUCACCAUCCAUCAUUGUUUCAUUUCUGUAGGAUUUUCUCUACUCCCAAUAGAAAUUGGACACCAAGACCCUUCCCCAUUAAUAACAUGGCAGCAAAGAGUUUCAUCACUUGGUCAAUUGGUAGAGCAAUGAUAGCAGCAUAAAUUUGAAAUGGCCUUACGUUAUCAUCAUGCUUUACCUCAAGCACUUGGAACUUCCAUAGAUGCAAAACCCUCACAUGUUCAGCAGCAUGAAAACUAUAUACAAGCAAAUAUUUUCCUACUGAAGUAGAAGCCAUCAUUUCAACAAAACCACUAAUUACUAGUUGAGGUUCACAUUUUUCAUGACAAUAGUGCAUAAUAAGAAGCCCUGAGACAUGAGUUGUGUUUUUUUAUGUUGUUGUUUGUUUGGAGGGGGGGGGGGGGGGGGAGGGGGGCUUUAAAGAAAAAGAAUAAACAGAUUGAAAUAAAAACAAAGAAAUGAAAUUCAAACUACUUUUUAUUCAUAACAGAACUGUUACUUGUCGAUGCAACAUUCCAGGCUUCAACAGAAAACAACAGAGAAAUUUGAUAUUCAAUAUUGUAGUGAACAAAUAGUUUCCACUUCAUAAAAGUUUUGGCAUGAAUUAUUAGCUAGAAGAAAUCUACCAAGAAAGCAGAAUAAAAGCAUAAAAUCCUCAAUCUCAAAAAGACAAAACAUGCUCAGGUCCUCACAAUUUAUUAAGGUUGGGUACAAGUGAACAAGUUUAAAAAGUAUUAGCAAUAGACCUAAAGUCACCAACCUCCCGUCAUGAAUUAGUGUAAGUAAAAGCAAUUCCCCAGUUUUUGCUGACAGCAUAGCUACAUCAUUCGUUAACCAGGUUGCGUUUGCAGCAUCAAGCUCCACAAUAAAAUUGGACCUUGGCAUCUCUUGACUGGAAAAAGGAUAAAGAAGACUUUCAGGUCCUUGACAACUCAUACAAUCAAUGUAAAAAGGAAAGACCAAUGUACUUCGACUGCAUAAAAACUGUCCUUUGGAAGAGGACAAAAUUUGAAGCGGAGGGUAUCAAUUAACUACCCCGCCUCUCCAACAGAUCAAAAAGUUCUAAAAAAUCACAUUGUUAAACUUAUUUUUACUACUAUGUUCAAGAGAUUGCUGUGGUGGUAUCAACCAUUAACAAGUUUGAAUUUAAUCAUUAAAUAUAGCAGAUCAAUGUGAACUAUAAUCAGAUUAUGCAGUUCCUGGUUAAUAAUUCAAUGAUGACACACAUCAAAGACAAAGAUUUGACAACCCCUCACCUGCUAUCCAUAGGAACAGCAUAGUUGUUCAAAGCAAGUACACAUGAUGUUGACUGCCCAAUUACAAAUCAUAAGCCAAAAAGGAUAGUGAAGAUGGAGAAGUGAUGCAAAAAUCCAACAGUUUUAAACUUCCACUGGAUCAAAAUGCUACCUGACUAUGAUAGUGAAUAGUAUUAGCACAGAGGACAAGGACUCCACCAAUAGGAGAUGGCACUGCAAGAAGCUUGUAGGCAUCAUGAGGCAGAUUCUGAUAACAAUGAGAAAAAUGAAGUCGUUCUAAAUUUAAUAAGUAAAACGCCCAAAAAAAUCUGAAUGUAUGACUCUCCAACAUUUGAAGUGAUUGAAUUCAGACAAAAAUAGCAUCAAAGAACAUCAAAGUAAAUCUCAGAAGAUAGAAAAAUGAAGCAAAGGGCAUAAAAUUAAGGACCAAAUUUUGAUUCUGUCUUCAACAUCUUGUUGGUUAAAAUGCUUUAUUAUAGUUUUACAGAAUUUCCAAGAUAGUUUUCACUUGAAAAGAUCCAACAGAAAAGUAAGACAAACAGCCAGCUCCAAGAUUUCCAGCUCAGCUCAUUAAACAGCAUAUUUUCCAUUAGUAAUGAGCAUUUUGUAUCAUAAGACAAACUAGCUCCUUCUCCAGAUGUUAGAUCUUCAAGUAAUUCAUUUAAAGCCAGAUCAUAAGGGAAAAAGCUGAAUGAAUUUUCAGUUUUUUAUGCAUCAUCGGCAAUUAUCAUUCAGCAUUCCUUUAUCAGGAAUCUUGAAGCAUUGCCAAAAGGCAAAAUGUUCAAGCAAAUCAAAGAUAGCUUCUCUAGAAUAGCAAAAGCUCUCAAACCUCAUUCUUUUGUGUUUAUUUUGUUCUUGGGAAACUUCCUCAAAAACAAAAACAUCUAUGUAAACAGAACUUUCUAUAGACAUUUCACCAGUUGUUCUACAAACACAAGUACUAGAUCAUGCCCGCACAAAAAAGUUUUAAGUUAUAUUGAGAGUACAAAAAUACGAAACCAGUCAUCAAUUUGAACAUUGAAAAAUCACAGAUGAAUUCGACAACACUGCAAAAUUUACUGAAGUCACUUGUACAAUAUAUGAGACUGGAAGAGGAAACACUGUAACUCAUUUUCUCUUUGCAGCCUAAUUCACCAAAAACCUUAGAUCAGUCAUCCGCUUGAUAAACAAGGAGCUUUAUAUUGUAAUAAAUAAUGUGCAAGCAAAAGAGCAAACAAGAAUUUGAGUUUUGCGCUAAAAAAUCAUGAUAUAUUUGCAUGUAAGCAUCAACCGUAACAGCUAAACAACAACAAUUUAACCGUAUAACCAAUGGCUCUCUCUUUAAUUGCAUAAAAUCUUUUUCAAAGAGAAACCUUCUGCUUGAAAAUAGCGAUAAAUUCCAAACAUUAACUUAAUCUUUCUUUAUACGUAAAGUUUCCAGUAUACAACCACCUAUUUCCAUUGAAAAUACAACUUCUUACAGUGGCCGACCAAAUCAGUGGAUGCUGCCUCAAUGUUGUGCUGAUACUAAGUGCUGAUAUCAUGCAAGUGUGAUGUUUCCAGGAGACGCGCCCUGCCCAAGUAAGCUCCCGUUCAUGAAGAAUAACCAUCACAGGCUCAAUGUAACCUGUAAAAUCAGUUACAUCAACUUGCCGAAGGGCUAAAUCAGUGGCCCAAUAGCUUGCAUAAUGUAUGAAAGUCUCCCAAAGGACUUUUAGACUCUGGAAACCCAUUUUUGCAACUAAAAUCCAGAUGAUAUGGGUCGAAUGAUGAAUAGAUUGGAGUAAAAACCAACUAAGAAAAAAGUAGAAGACAGCACUGACUUCCAUUAGCAAAAAUAGCAGACUUCUCACAGUAGGUAAUACUGAUACAAAUGCAAUGCACAGAAAGGAAAAUUAUUUCACAGUUCAAAGACUAAUAAGCAGCAUUUCAGUUAGAAGAAAUGGCUAACACAUUAUUUAGCAGCUGAAAAAGAAGAAAAGAUAGGAAACCUAAAAUCAGUUUAAUCCAAUUCAGCUGCUUUUGUCAUUCUCCUCCUAUUCCAAAUUGUCAGAUUGUUAUCACAGCAUUGGUUGGAAAUGUAUAAAAUUUAUGACAGCAAGAAGCAAAUGCCGAUUGCCAAUUUGAUCAAUCAACUACUCCAACCAAAUUAUAGCUAAAACUUUCAGCAAAUCAAGUCAUACAUAAUUGAACAUUCUUAUACCCUUCAGUUUACACCAAGUUAGAACCAGAAAACCAAAUCAGAACCUGAACUCAUCAUGCAAAUAGUAGCAUUACCAACUAAUCUCAAAGUGCAAAGCAAAGCUUGUCUAAAUGGAAUUAUAAUCACUUACCAUUGAUAAAUAUAAAAUCUUUUAUGUGCUUCAUAUCCAGAUCUCUCAGACUAAUUAUAUAUGAUGACUCAAUGCGAGCAGAAACUGCACCUCCCGCACUAGAAGCAUUAUCCUCACUGACUAAACCAGAGGUGGCCUAACAUCAAAAAUUCCAAAACUGAGAUUUAGAGAAUAAAAGACAAUCACAAGGAAAAAUCCUUCAAGCUUAAAUGCAUAUGACACAUAUUACAUCUAGCACCUUCAUAAAAUAGGACGGCCACUGAGACAAUCCUGAUACAUAAACCAUAUCCCAAAACCUUACUCUGAGCUCAUUUUUUUAACUUACAGGUAAUCCAUGUUGGAUAAACAUGAAUUUUGCUGUCAAGGAUAACAACAUGAAUAUGAAUGAGCCAAAAUAUAGAGCCAAUUACCACAUAAUAUAUCCAUGCAACUCUUGAAACAUCAUGAUGUUAUCACUUUGCAAAGUUCCCAAGCAGAUCCUACAUCAAAGCCCAAAAUCUCCUCCAUGUGGAGGGAAAAUGGAAGCAGUAUAAUUGGAGAAAUUAUUCCCAUGUUAUCCUAGAACAUAAGGUGACAAAUUUACUUCUCUAGCAAUAGUAAGCUAACAUUCUGCAAUAUACAGACAAGUUUUCCAUUGUCUGUAACGUUUACCUAGUAUUCCCAUCAGUACCUAUGUUUUUUACAAUGAAAAUUCAAAAUAUGACAACUUUACAACAAGUAGACUUUACUCCAACCCCUUUGACAUUAUUUCAGUUUCAUGCAGUAAUUAACCAAUUUCUAUACCAUUUUAUGAGGUUAUUUCUUGUUGUCGGGAUACAAUGUCUUAGACAGUUUGCCUACAAAAUCAUCCAAUAGGUCACCAACCAAAAUAGCAAUUGCCUCACCUAAAUUAUACAAUAUCCUAUCAUAUGACAAAAAGUAGCAUCACAGCCAACGUGUUUCACUGAUUUAUUAUUCAUACCAUUACACAUUCUAAACUCUGACAUAAAAAAUCAAAUAGAGUCAAAAGCUACCACAUACAUGGACCAGAACUAAGGGAGUGCUUGUAAAGACAACACAGCUACUAUCACAUACCUAGCUAUUCGCAAAGCUCUGAAAAAAAUGUAAGCCACCCGUGUAAGUUUAAUGCAACAGCAGGAACAAAGGAAAAUAGUGUACAACAGCUUAUUACAAUUGGAUUUCCAGAAUACUAAUACAUUCCAUAAAAGGAACAAAAUGAGCAUGGAAAGGUAAACUAGGAUGGUAGCAGUAAAUCAAACCUCAGCAGCCUUGAGCACGACCAUUUGUAGACCAUAAACAAGAACUCCAGCACACCUUCCCUGCGGAUCAACCUUCACUAAUGGACCUCUGGCAAAAGAUUCUCUACCUCUUUUAAGAUGGUGCCAAUCUGGACCUUCGAAACAGUGCAGUGAACUGGAAAAGAGAAACAAAGCAUCAAGUACUGUUACUUGCCAUUCAAAAUCAUGCAUCAAUUGACAUUCUUGAUUGUAGAAUUAUAUUAAAGCAAACACCAGUCAAGUAUUUGCCCAAAAAAAAAAAUUGAGUAGCCAAAAAACUGUAAUUGAAUGACAAUAUUAUUCCAAAUAAUAUUUCGCUUGCAUCAUAAACACAUUUCCCAACUCACCUUUUUAUAUUCCCAACCAACUUUUUAUCUCGCAUACAUCACAUCACAAAAAGUGCUACAGUAAUUAUUCCAAAUAAUAUUUCAAAUAACACCCUGUCCAAACAAAUUGGCCAGCACAGUUUUUGCGCAAUUUGCUUAAAGCAAGAUGAAAGGAUAUAUAACGGAACUUCACCACUAGGGUAAUUCAAGUUGCAUUCUAGGAGAUCUAACCAUCGGGAUACAGUGAGCGACAAUUAAGUACUGUUAUUAGUAGAAAAUCAUCUAAAAUUUGACUCCUUUGAAUGCAGUUUUGCCUCGGUUCCAAUUCGUCUUAGGUGUAGGAGAAACAACAGCAACUUCAAUUCGUGAAUAUUUUUUUCACUGACCUUGUGCGUAGCCCGUGAAUAGAAUCAUCAAACUCCAAAACUGACAUCUUAGCAUCUUGGAAAGUUAGGAUAAUUGAAUCCCUCCUCUUCCCACCAUCAAUGCCUCCCGAUGAUAAAAUCCCCAUGGACUCCACAUUGCCAUGCAGUCUACAAUGAGUAAAUAAUAAGAAAGAAACAAAGAAAUUGGGUGCAAUAAUGUCUUUAGAAAAUAAGAUGAUUUCAAAUGAUGAUGUGCAAUUCAGAGUUAUGUUUAGUUUGGAAGUGGACCUGUAAUGGCAGACGAGUUCUAGAGAAGCGCCAGAGAUACCAGCGAGGACGCCGCCCCGUUGGGCUUCAAUGGGCGUUUUGGAGUCUCUGGAAGAAGCUUCCUCUAGAAGCCUAAGGGUGUAAAGCUCGAGAACAUUAGCCGAAGUGAGAAUGAGAUUGGGGAGGGGGCCAAUGGGCUUGGGAGUAGAGGGCCAGUCCGAGUCCAGAUCGUCGGUUUGGAUUGGAGGGAAUUUUGGAGUGAAAUCGGCGACGGAGUGAGUAAUGAAGCCGGAGGCGCAGUUGUCGAUUCCGGUGGGAGGGUGCAUCAUCUUGCACGCUGCGAAGCUCAUCUUGAGUUGCUAUAUGAGCUUUGGUUUCAGUUAUGGUUUUCAGAGGAGAAUUGAGAGUGAGAGUCAGACCGAGUUACGAGCACGAAAAAUCGAACAUAAUGGAGAAAUCUACUGCUCCUACUUUUUGUUAGGGUUUAAGCGAUAAACCCUCCCGUUCGAUGUUGGCGGGAUGAAUUGAAUUGCCCUAAACGUUUCAUUGGGCGCUGCCGAUGGAAUCAAGAAAUUAGUGCCGUGAAAUAAAAAUCAAGAAAUUAUCCCCAAUGGCCAAUGGUAUAGUAUUGCUUUGGGAUGAAUGUCCAUUCCAUUGACGUCCGGGUAGAUGUCGGAAAUAUGGCAAGUACUCGUUAUUAAAAUUAAAAAGACGAACGAAUUCAACGCCAAACUUCUUACCCAAUUCCUCUCUCCCGCCCCCCUCUUUUCACUUGAAUGUCAUUGAAGCAUUUGUUUUGCUCUUACUUUAAGAAACAGCAGUGAGUAGUGUGUUUGAUAGAGAAAAUUCUUGAACUGUUAUGAAAAAAAAAAGUUGUUCUACAAUGGGGUUAUUUUAGAAGGUAGGUCUGAAAAUGUGAUCUUCGCAUUUGUGAAAUGCGAGUUUCCAGACUUCGCAUAUCACAAAUGCGAGGUUAGUCUCUGGAAAAAAAAAAAAAAUGAGGUUGCCGUACCUCGCAUUUUUGAAGUGCGAGGUACUUAAUCUGCCAAUCCACAAACAGCCCCGCUGAAGACUGUAAUUUUCAAAUCUUUUGCUCACUCUUCUCCCUCAAAUCUGGUGCUCAUUUACAAACGAACAGCCGGCAUAAAUUGGAACAAAAUCAUCUCCAUCCAGCUCACUCUCUCUUCUCCUUUGCUGAGCUAGACAGCAGUUGAAGCUUCCAGGAUCGGCAGACGAAAAUCCACCUUGGUGCAUCUUCCUCGUCGGAAUUGGAGGGCGCCAUUGUAGAGUUUUGAGCAAAUUUCGGAGCUUAAAAGAAUUGCUCCUUCCGAACCCAUCAGAAACAGCAUAAAAGGUAUGAAUUUCUGUUGCAAAGUCUGAUUCUUAUGCAUUUUCUAUUUAGUUAAAACUUGAAUGUGAUGCAAAGUUUAGAUUUGAUGUCAAAUUUGAAUGUAAAUAUCAUGUGGGUUGUGCUAUUUUGUUGCAAUUUUUUUGGGUAAUUAAGUGGUAAAUUUUCUUGCAUUAUUAUGGGUUUGGCAAAUCAGUAGUGGACAGAAUCACACAUAAAUAAUAAUACGCGACCACACAAUACACAACCAUGAGGUCGCAUAUUGUGUGUUGCGUUUUCUUCGUAUUGGCCGCGGAUUGUAAUACACGCCCACCAAUACUCGACCUUGUGGUCACGUAUUGUGGUCAAGUUUUACAAUUUUUUGCAGUUUUUCAAUUCGCGCCUCACUGUGGUCGCGGAUUUUAAAUGUUGUUCCAUCCAUUUGUCGUGGUACCCUUACUUUCUUAGCCUUUUUGUGGUAUUUUAUUGGUACUAAGUGCUUUUUUAAUAUGAUAUUACUAGCUCCUAUAUCUAGAGAAAAUUCUAAAAUUGUGAUGAAAAAAAAAGUUAUUCUACAAGGGGGGCAAUUUUUGAAGUUAGUUCUAACAUUAGGGUCUUCGCAUUUGUGAAAUGUGAGUUCAUAGACAUCACAUUUGACAAAUGCGAGGUUAGUGUUUUCGGAAAAAAUGAGAAAUGUUUUGGGAAAAAGUAAAAAGGACAAAUGAUGUGAAACCCCGAUCUAGACAACCAAAACUCCAUGGCUUAGGCAGCGGAAAUUUGACCCAACUAAUCCCUAGAAGUCACGAACAAUUUUGAUAUUAUCUCAACCCGUAACUACUUGAAUUAACGAACCAAAUUGGAGGUAGUAGAACGCCACAAUCAAGGAGAUACUCGAUUGAUAAGUUCGGGUGAAUAACUUGAGAAGAUUCUCAAGUAUUCAAAGGCAACUCUCUUGCCAAAGAGAAAGUGAAAACUCACUAAUUGUAUUUAAUAGUCAAAAAAUUGCUCCCAAAACAAAGAGGAAGUGGGGCUAUUUAUAGCCCUUACAAGCAUUAACCCUAAUCCAAAGGUUGACCAAACUACCCUACAUACUUAAGAAAGAUUUUGGGCCUUACUUACUAACAAAUUGGCCGCAAUUAAACUAUCUUAAUUACCUAGACUUUUUAAAACGAGAAAUAACCAAAAUCAACGAGGAAAAUCAAAUAAUCCUACUAAACUCAAGCAUUCGUGCAAUCAACUAGUCUUCACUUGAAUCUUCCAAUUCCCCAUGUGCUUGAAUGGGCCUUGGUCUUUAUAUUCUCAUCAACAAAUAUGCAGACUACAUCAUUUGUUUACUAAUUUGUACCUUAAACGCACAUGCAAAAUGAUAAAUAUAUCCAUUGUACCCCUUUUUAACUUCUAAAAAUGUAGGGAUUGUCAUUUGUUACAUAGUCUUGUACUACUAAUUCUAAUUUAUUUUUCCCAAAAUAGGAAUUAUUUUCGCACAUAUGUCUAUAGAAAGACCUCUGCGAGUGUCUCUUUAUUGGGGAGGUAAAAUACACUACGAAGAUGGGUCAAUUUGUUACUUGCUUCAUACCUCCAACCGUACAUUCUCAUUACGGAAUAGAAUUGGCUAUGAUGAGCUGGUGGAUAGAAUUUAUCAAUAUAUGGGGGUCGAUAGAGGGCUGUUCAAGUUAAAUUUAUUUCUCCGCCAACCUUGUGGCCGUAGCUCUUAUAAUGUCUCCCCAGUGGUGGAUGAUGAAACUCUGGAGAUAAUGUAUGAUGUAUGGAACGAAAUUAUCCCAUACAUAGUCGAACUUUAUAUCGAGAAGGAGGAAAUAGUCCAAAAUUCUCGAGUCAGUAGCAUAUUCAUUCCACCAACUACCAAUCUUGGACCGAUGAUGUCGCUUGUCCAUGCAUGCAUGGAUCCAACAAGAUUUCGAUCGUACUCUAGUACAGUAGUACCAGAGACAGCGUCGGUAUCACAAUUGCCACAUGGAGAUUGUGUUAGGGACUCAGUAGAGCCACGGCUUACAUCAGGCUUUAGAAUGGAUGUUGAAUCUGUUGAAGGUCUUGACUCGAUUCAAAGUUUUAGAGAUCCAGAAUCGCCGAAUCAUGUUGCUUGUUAUGGCUUCAAUACUACUGCUGGUCCAAGUCACUGUAACACAUUCCUAGAUGAUGAUCGGAGCAUGAUAUAGAAGAUGUAGAAGAAUCUGAAUCCGUAGAUGUGUCAAGCAGUGACUCAGAUGGCGAAAAUGAACGACGUGAAGUCCACCAGGAUCUCGAGAACCAACAGCCCUUUGAUGCAUCUGGCAACCUCUCAUAUGCUCCACGAGGAUUAAAAUUCUUCUCUAACCUUGGAAACAUAGAUGAUGACGAUCAACUCACUGAUGAAAGUGAGUUGGAGCGCAUUGUGACAUUCAGUGAGGAGAAUAAUAAUAUACGACUCCAUAUGAGAUUUGAGAGCAAACAACAGCCUUAGCAGGGCUAUUAGAAUGUGGUCUAUCAAUCAUAAUAGGGAAUUCAGGGUUGUUAAGAGUAAGAGUAACACCUGAGUUGUCAAAUGUAAAUCUGCACUUGAAAGGAGCACUACCACUGCAGUCGACUCAUCGUAUCCUCCAUGCGACUGGUGUGUCCGAGCAGUGAAAAAAAGACACAUGGAUUGUGGCAAAUAACCAAAUGGGUGAGCGACCACAAUUGUCUAGGUGAUUUGAUGAGUAAUAACAAUGCUAGCCUUACAUCUGCAGUUAUUGCUAGACACAUAGUUCAUAGCAUUGAAGAUGAUCUUGGGUAUAAAGUUAAGAACAUAGUAAGUCAUAUUAAGGAAGUUCUGAAGGUGGAUGUUUCUUAUAAAAAGGUUUGGUACGGCAGACGUAAAGCUAUCGAACUUGUAUUUGAUUCUUGGGAUUCCAAUUUUGCUGAACUACCAAAAUAUGUUGAUGCACUUAUGCAGUCAAAUCAGGGAUCUGUGAUCAGGUGGUUACACCAUUCUGAUAGUACGGAUCAAAUGAAGACAUUCAAGUAUGUCUUCUGGGCUUUUGGACCGGCUAUUGAUGCAUUUCACAUGUGUCGACCGGUUAUAUGUGUUGAUGACACUCAUUUGCGUGGCGAAUAUAAAGGCAAAUUACUUGUUGCAGUUACGCAAGAUGCCAACAACCAAAUUAUUCCGAUAACUUAUGCCAUUGUCGACGAAGAUACUAUUUCCAGUUGGUCUUGGUUCAUGGAGCAAUUUAGAUACCAUGUGACCCGUGAUCGGUAUCCUAUUUGUGUCAUUUCAUAUCGGCAUAAUGGUAUCAUUCAUGCCAUGACACAUUUUGACUAUUGGCAAGAACCUUUGGCCUUUCAUAGAUUUUGCCUACGACAUGUUCGGAGUAACCUAAUGACUCACUUCAAAGGCCUGCACCUUAAAAGGUUGUGUUGGGCAAUGGGAAGAGCCAGACAAUUGCGCAAGUGACGGGCAUUCAAACGAGAAUUAAGGAGCAUGUUUCCAGACGCAUGGACUUAUUUGUCUAACAUUGAAACCGAAAAGUGGUGUCUAACGCAUGACGCAGACAUUCGUUGGGGUAUUCUUACAACCAACAUAUCCGAAAGUUAUAACAAUGUAUUUAGAGGAGCACGUCAUUUAUCUAUUGGGGUUUGUAUUGAUAUGACAUUUCAUCGGACAGUUGAGUUGUUUAAAACUAGAAGAGAGAAUGCCAGACAUUGCCGUAAUUUAUUUCCUCCAAAGAUAUGGUGGCGGUUUAGGAAUUCGGAUCAGAAAGCGGGACUCCACAGGGUUGUUGAGUUCGAUGGCUCAUCCGGGGUGUAUAAAGUUGUGACUGGCCGACGUGUGGAUGGCAAAGGGGGUAAUACACAAACGGUCAAAUAUUUUGAAAAAACAUGCUCAUGUGGUAAGUGGCAGUGCUACAGACUUCCCUGUUCGCACGUGAUGGCCGUGUACAGGCAUCGAGAAGAUAAUCCAGGAACGCUUGUAGAUCCCCAAUUUACAAAAAAGGCGGUGGGCGGUGCAGUAUUCAGGAAGGUUUAACCCUUUGCCACACCACAAUACUUGGCUCCAACCAAAUUGGAAGUUACAGGCAGAUAGAAGUAAAUAUGUUGCACAUCGGGUGGGAAUGGUACGAGGUAGAAGAAUUAGGAAUGAAAUGGAUGAGAGAGAUCCAGAGGAACCAAGAAAAUGUACAAAUUGUCAUCAGUCGGGUCACAAUAGAAGAAAUUGUCUUAAUUUUAGAGUUUGAAUUCGCAUUUUAGACAGCGAAUUCAUUGUACCCAUACCAUUUGGCUGGCAUUAUGAAAUUAGUAUAUUAUAUACGAUACAUUUUGUUGCUAUAUUUUCAUGAUAUUAUAUUUUUGAUUUAUUUUGAGCAGUUUCGCAUAUCUAAAGUCAGUAUAGUAUGAAUUAUUAAAGAGUUACUAUUAUACUAUUCAAAUGCGUGUAGUCUUAUGUGUGACAGCCCCACCUCCCCCUAAGGCGAACCAAAGGGUUCGGCGGGUUGCCUGCCCAACUCUCGCCAGAACUCAGUCGUUCACUAAAGUUCUCAAAUAAAUUACAAGAUAAAUCUCAAAUAUACAUCAAAUUUUUCAAUAAUUACAUGUCAUAAGCGAAGCGGAAACAAUUCCAAAUAAGCCAUCCAGUCACGUGAAUAAGUACUACAAGUCCUUCCUUCGCCUUGAGCCCUGUGGAGGGGAAUAAAAUAUUUUUGGGGUGAACUAGAAGCUCAGCGAGUAACCAGUAAAAUCAGUAAUCAAAUCGGUUUCACAAUAGUUCAUUUCAAUGAUGUCAUAUAUCAAACGAUAAGUCAAGAAAUAAUUACAACAUUUACAAGAAACCAUACAUGAAAAGGAUACGUUCGUUCGUUCAUUCGUUCGUUCUCCUGUCAUUCCCCUUUCCUUCAUUCAUUUGAAAAUGCAUUUUUCAUUUAUCAAUAAAACCCUCGUUCGUUCGUUCGUUCAUUCAACCUUUCCUGGACAUUGGCCAGGCUCCACCAACCUCCACCAACCUAUAAGGUAAUACUCGAGUAUACCAAACGUUCACCCAGGUCACCAUAUCGCCCGAUCGAGUCCGCUUCUGGCUCGAGUCGAUCGGUAACAAGGGGCAGUGGCCAGUUCAGCCAAAAGGCUUACAUUCAUGCACAAGUAACAUUUCAAUCGUUCCAUCUUCUAGUUUCAUUCUAGAUCAUUUCCAAUCAUAAUACAUAGCCACACCAUAACAAUCAUAUGAAAUCAGAAAAAUUCAUGAACAAAAGAAAAAUCCAUCAAUCUCACCCAUAGGUCAUGAAAUCAUCCAUAAAAUGACAUGCUCUACCACUAGAAAUUCUUAAUUGAUCAUUAUUAGCAUGAGAGGGAAGAUAUUUAAUAUCUCACCUUUGCAACUCCAAGAAACAAGACAACUAGAGCUUGUUCUUCACAAAUGGCUCCACUCAACACCUUAAACUAGCUUAGCAACUCACUUUUAUGGAGAAAUUUGGAAUUUAACCGGUAGGUUUGUAAGAUUCAAGCUAGAAAUGAAGGAAAAUUGAAGAAACUCUCUCUCUCUUUCUCUCCUCCAUGGCCGGCCAAGAGCAAGGAAAAAUGAAGCUCAUUUUGGUCAAUUUUUGGUAUUUAGUAAAGUUGGUGAAUAGUGGUCAAAACCAAGGUCCAAUGAAAACGCGACACCUAGCAUCUCUUUUGACUUAUAAUUAUCCUUUUGUCUCUCCACUCUCAUCCAUAUAACAACCUCUAAUUAUCUCUUAGCACCUGAUAAAAUAAAUUCGGUAUCCAAAACUUAACCUAACUGGCCGAAUUUUACCGAACUUUCCGCACUAGUGGGUUCCACGUCCGAUAUAUAUUCUUAAUUUCUCAAAAACUAACUGAUACUAGAAAAAUCAUCUAAAACUAUAUUUACUCAAUACAAUUAUCUGGAAAAUUUUCUAAUAAAGAAAAUGUCGAAAAAGCGGGCGAACAAUAAAAUAAACCCUAGAAACUUAGAAAAUUUUCGGGUUCUCGCACUCAUCCUUUUGGAGCGUCACAUUAUGUAUUACCUAUGCAACUUGCAGCUAUUAUUUUCGGUAUGGUAAACAUUCCUAUACAGCCAGACUUGCAUCCAGGGUCAUUUGUGUAUGAUAUUAUCUCAGCAGGUACUGCACACUGGGUACAUUCUCUAUUUCACGGUCAUAUUUUGGGUGAUCAGCUUGAUGUUAGAAGAUGUGAUAGGGGUUUUUGGGAGCAUACACCUAUCUCCGAAACUGUUCGGCAGUAUAUUCGAUUGGCGAAUUUUGAAGGGAUAUUAGAAUGUGGAUAUAUGAUGCUUGAUCAUGCCUUGAUCACUAGUUUAGUGGAGCGAUGGUAGCCGAGACUCAUACAUUUCACCUCCCCGUUGGAGAGACUACGGUUACGUUACAGGAUGUAGAGGUCCUGUGAGAUCUACCCAUAGAUAGUCCUUCAAUUAUAGGGAUAGAUACAUCUCGUAGUGUUGAGAACUGGAGGAAUUUGUGUGAGGAGUUGAUUGGUUUUCAGCCUUUGAUGUCAGAUUUUGAUGGACAACGACUCAAAUUGGGGUGUUUAUCUAGAGUAUUAGAUAUAGAGCUGCCACUGGAUGCUUCGGAUGUCCAAUGUAGACAGUGGGCUCCCAUAUACCUUCUUCUGAUGUUAGGGGGCCACUUAUUGUUCGAUAAAUUCGGUAAUAAAGUCUCGCUACUGUAUAUGUCAUUAUUACGAGAUUUGGAAACUGUUGGGCAAUAUAAUUGGGAUAGUGCGAUUUUAGCGACUCUGUAUCGAUCAUUGUGCAUCGCAACUUCUCCCUCUAGAUCAGCUAUUACAGGACCAUUAGUUUUGCUACAUGUACAAUACCCUAAUUGGUAUCUCGACUAAAUUUAACUAUAAGAUUACUACAAUGUCGGUUAACAUAUUCAAAUUUAACUUUUUUCAGCUAUGGGCGUUGAAACGCAUACCUACAAUGCGCCCUGAUCGAGUGCAACUGUUAGAGCACUAUCCUGGUCCAUAUGGAGUUCGGUAUGUAUAUCAAAUAUAUAUGAUGCAAAAUGACAAUACGAAUCAAAUUGUACUCUUUGAUGAUAAGUCAUGAUUUAUUGUAUGCAGGUGGAAUAUUUAAUUUGAUCUACACAGAGUAACAAGACAUGUUGUAUCCAUAUUUCGAGAUCAGUUGACAGGCCUAGGUAAUCUUCAGGUACAGUCACGUAUUGGCCAAUAUUGAUGUAAUUGUCAUUGUUCUAAUUUAUUUAUAUCUGAGGAAAUACUUAAAAUUGAUCAAUGUCAGUUGGACAUAUAUAAGAUGAUGCUUGUUCUUGGCAAAAUAAAUUGUUUGGCAGGGAGUUUUUGUCCUGUUAUAGGGGAGAUGCUGCCGAAAUUUUCUAAAAAUUUAUGUACUCCGAUAAUUAUUAAGUACCAUUGGGUUGUUGUAUGUUGUCGACUAAUUAUUGUGUUGCUGUUCAUAUGGCAGUCAUAUUCGGAGGAUGUUCUCGAUUCUCUGCCUUUAUAUUGUACUAGAGGACGCGAUAUUUGGAGAUCUGUCACGUAUCUCAUAUGUUGGGAGGUUGUCGAGCCACAUCUUCCUCAUAGGGUUAUGCGACAAUUUGGAUAUCAUCAGCCCUUGCCUGAUUUUAAAUUGACUGAAAAUCAAGCAGCACUACAUUCUCUAGAUCGUCGUAGUAAGGGGAAUCAAUAUUGGAUAACUACGCAUACAGCAUAUAUUGAUGUGUGGACUGAUCGACAUAUGCAUGUAGACGAGGGUGCUGUAAUUGAAGAUCCUACUUAUCCAUCAGACGAGUAUCGUCAGUGGUAUCGCGAGCGGACGGUUCUAUAUAUUUCAAAUCCUACUAGACAUCCCAUUUUUUCGGAGGAUAUUCAGGGCGAUAGCGCUAGAGUACAAUAUCUUGUAAGUUUUUCCUAACUUUUAACCAAAUAUUAAUACUUCUUGUACCAAUAUUUCUAAGAUGUAACUCUAAUUAUCCUUAUUCAUGCCUAUAUUUACACUCCAGAUGGAUGCUAUGUUUCAGGUGUAUUACAUGACUGAGGACUCUCUAUCACAUAGUGACGAACAGCACAGUAAUUAUUUUAAUGCAAUAAAGGACUUUGCAUCCAUAACAUUGAAUCAUGUGGGGGAGUCAUCCCGACUUGCAUUUCGCCUUCCACGAGUACCACAGGCCAUUCCACAACUAGCAGACCCGUGGUGUGUUCAACGUGCUCCUAGGAAUGUUCAUGGAGGUCAGCAUGACGGUGGUAGACGUCGUAGAUACCGAUCACCUGAACCCACCGUCCAAACUGGAUUAGAUGGAGGUUCACAGGCAACUGAGCACCAUGGCACUUCUACGUCCAUUGGCCAUACAAGGUCCCCAGUGCCUUUUGGAGAGCUUACGCCCGAUACAGACGUCCAUCUUGGCACUUCUGCACAAUAUGGUAGAUAUGAUGAUAAAGGUCAGAGAACCCAAGUUGUUGAUGCUAGACUUGACUCACAGAUUACACAAGUCGAUAUAGUAAUGCCAGACCAGCCACGGCGAACACAAAGAGUUCACAAGCCAAGAGGAUAUGGCACGCAUGGAAAACUUGGACACCAUUGAUGAUAAAACUGUAAUUGUGUAGUAGUUGUUUAAAUACUAUAACUCACUGUUAUAUUGAGCAAAUAUUGGUAAGUUUUUUGUAUAUAUUCUUGUAAGUUUUUCCCGAAUAUUAGCAGAACAAAUUAAUCACGCAUAUCUUAUCCAUAAUUUUUAAAGAAAUAUUAGAAACUUUCCUUAAAUUACCCAUCAACAAGGGGUAGAAUGCAUGUGAUUAUCAUGUUGCAUGUGCGUGAAAGGCACAAAUCAGUAACCACCUGCAAUAUGACUUAUAGUGGAAUUUUGGGGUUGAAAGUGAAAAAGACCAUUGUGAUUGAGUUUGUGCAGAAAUUACAAAAAAGUAAAACACGCGACCUCAAUACGCCCCAACAAUAUCGUGUAUUGUGCGCGCGUUUUACAAUCCGAGGCUAACAACCAGAAAACGCGAUACAUAAUAUGUGACUACAAUGUCGCGUAUUGUGUCCACGCGUAUUACAACCUGCACCCACAACGAAUAAAACGCGAUCACAAUACGUACCAAAUGUUGAUGCGUAUUAUUUUUUCACGUAUUACAACCUGCACCCUCAAAGAAUAAAACGUGACCACAAUAGGCGGAAAACGUAGUCGCGUAUUGUGUCCACGCGUUAUUACAACCUACACCCUCAAAGAAUAAAACGCGAUCACAAUACACGGAACAAGUUGUCGCGUAUUGUGUCCACGCGUAUUACAACCUGCACCCACAAAGAAUAAAACGCGCCCACAAUACGCGAAAAACGUAGUCGCGUAUUUUUUUUUCACGUAUUACAACCCGCACUCACACCGAAUAAAACGCGACCAUGUGGUCGCGUAUUGUGCUCGCGUUUUAAUUCUUCGACCAUAAAUAAAGUUUACGCAGACAAAUUCCCUCAGCUAUUCCUCACGAACAGCCUCGUGUUUUCUCUCUUCCAACCGAACCCAAUGUUCAAAUCUUCUUUUUUGCAACAUAAUCUUACUAAAACCCAACAACCCAACACCUUUUGAGUAUCAAACAACCUUUCUAACCAAUUAAAAUUCAUCGCAAACACCUGCACAUUCAGCAUUGAAGGGAUUGAAGGCUAGGAUUUUCAGAUUCUAAUUUCUUCAAUUGGAGGGCAAAUUUUGACUAUUUGAUAGGGCUUUUUAUAUAUUUAGCAUUACUAAAGAUCCCUCUACGUGAUUGAGGUAAGAAAUCGUAUUGAAUCUUGGUAUUUUAAAAGUUCAUAUUUUUCAAUUUCCUGAGUUUUCUGACAACUUUGAAUUAUGAAAUUGUGUUGAUGUAUAUACAUGUUAUUGGCCUCAUUUAUGCUGAUUAAGGUUAUUAAAGCAUGUAUACAAGUUGAAAUGCACUCAAUUCGUUGGUUUAUUGGUGCUUUUAGAUCCUCAUAGGGCUAUAUUUGGCUAGAAUUAGAUAGUUGGCCUACGAUAUUUUUAACCCACUGGUGAUCAAUGAUUAUGAUUAAUAAUACUUAGUUGAUGAUACUUUAGCAUGUGCAUUGUGUAUAUUUCGUAAUUUGGUUGAACUUUAGAGUUAUUACGAUAAUUUUUGCUUAACAAUGUUUAUUGCCAUUAAUGUGUUAUUGUUGUUAAUUUUUGCUUGCAAUAAGCAUGAUUGAUGCUAAUUUCAUUGAUUGUGCUAUAAUGGAGUGUACAUAAUUUGACCAUAUUGGUGACGCAUACCUCAAUUUUUUGGCAACUUUACAAGGGGAGACUCUAUUGUUCGAUAUUUUUGAAUACUCAAUUGAUUCUUCGUGAAAUAGAGAUAUGAAUUGAAGGUUAUUUAAGCUGUUUUUUAUUUGUCAAAUGUACUACUGUUUUCGGUGUGUGCCAUACGGUAUGAUUUAUGGGCUAAAGAUUGGAUUGUUUUUAGGUACUAUGGGAAGGAAAAGGCAAGUGGUUUCUUCUUCAUCAAGCAGUGAAGAGGCUGAGGAAAACUUGGACAUCAGUGCGUAGGAUGAAGAAACUGAAGAAGAAGCACGCUCUCCUUCGCCUGCACCUGCUCCUAGGCGUCUACGGGGGAGAACUGCGCGACAGCCCCAAAUAUUUGAUAGCGUUAGGUUUUCCACUCUACAGCACCAGCAGUGGUAUGAAGCACAUGCCAACUUGGAGUUCUUGUUCGAAAAACAUGUGAGCGCCGAAGUUGAGGCUGCCUUUCAGAUUUCGCAGGCAUUUGACCAACUUGGUUGGGCGCCAAUUCUUCGACUACCUACUCACUACUAUCCGGAGCUUGUGCGUGAGUUUUUUGCUAAUAACAUUAACAAGGCGAAGCAUAGUGGUGAAAUGGUGGAGUCCUUUGUCCGAGGAACACGCAUCAUCUUGUCAAAGCAGAGGUUAGCAGCAUAUUGGGAUGUGCCGACGAAGGUCUUGCAGUUAAUUUGAAAAAGGGCUUCGUCGCUUCAAACAAAAGAUGGGAUCCGACACAUGCUAUGGCAAGGUUCGGUCUUCAAUACCAACCUUUCCGUUCAUCGAGAAAGGAGACGAUUGUUGCUACAGUCUUUGAUGCCAGACAUCGCCUUCUUGUCUAUAUGAUAACGCACAAUGUAAUUCCCAAGAAGACGGGCCAUAGCGAGGUCAGGAAGAGUGAUAUAUACUUCUUGGACUAUAUGUUCCAUAACCGGGACGCCUCUUACGCUCAAAUUUCGUUGCCAAAUAUCAUCAUCAGAUAUAUACGGUCAACGGUGAGACGUCAGACUACUUCUUUCAAGCUGGCAUUCCCUCGACUACUCACAUUGGUGUUUGAACGGAUGGGGGUUAAUCUAGCUGGAGCUGAGCGACAAGUUGUUCGACCCCGUACCGAAUUAUCUUUUACCUUGCUACAGAACAUGGGUAUCGACGUGGCUGCUUUCCUUCCACUUAUGGAGCGGCAGUCUAAAGCAAGACAUGGUGGAGAUGAUGCUGGUCCAUCCACCUCUGCACCUCCCCCGGUGCAUCAUCGUCUACCCAACUGGCCACGGCUUUUCAAUACUUUGGAAGAUAUUCAGUUUGACUUGCAGAGGAUGGACACUCGCUUGGCACGUAUAGAGAAUCAUUUAGGCAUUCCUCCACCUUUAUCUCAGGGUGGUGGUGCAGAUGAAGAUGGCGAUUGAAGCUGCUCCGGUGGAAUCACUAUCUUAUUUGUGCAUGGAUUUGCAAAUAUUUUGUUUUUAAUCUAUGGAAUGUUCGAUGCUUUUUAGAGCCACAUUUUACUUUUUCUGUUUUUUAAUUUACUAAAGACCUGUGCUUUGGCGGUGGUUUGUGAUUUUUGGCUGAUCUGGAUCUCGGCAUUGCACAACGAAAUGUUUGGUACUUUUAGUAGUUUUAUGUUUAAUAUUUGGAGAAGUUGUUGGAAAUAUUGGUUAGAUUAAAUGUUGUCUAUUUUGGAUUUGCUGACAGGGAGUUUAGUCCACUUUUAAAGGAGACUCUGUCAAAAUUUUUUCAAAAAAUAAUUAAAUCUAUAUAUAUAUUUAUUAAGCAUAAUAAAUUACAAUAAACAAAAAAUUUUUUGUCAAAUAUCUCAGUCGGUGAAAUCAAAUAUAUGUGGUUUGCUCUCAUCUUUUUUCGAUUAAUUUGGAAAUGAUUAUUAUGUUGGCUCUUUAUUUUUUGCAUUUAUAGCAAAGUAUAUCUUGUAAUCUAUAAGAUAAAUAAUCACGUAAUAAUCAUUUCAUAAAGGGUUAAAUGCAAAAAACCCUACAAACUAUAUACCCAAUUGCAGUUUAUCCCCUAAACUAUAAUAAUAGGCAUUUUUCCCCCUUGAAUGAUAUGUUUGGACAAAUUUACCCCUUUUAAUUUAAGCAUUGUUAUUUUUCCUUUUAAAUUCUUCCUUUUUUUCUUUAAACCUUGUUUAAAUAAGUAGACUAGAUUUGUCAAAAUUUAUUUAUUUCUUAAUUUCGUAUGUCAAUAUUUUAUAAAAAAAAUCUAUGGAAUACAAGAUUUUUUUUCCAAAUGUUGAAGUCAAUGUCAUUUAAGAAAUUGAACUUUUCCAAUAUAUAAUAACAAAAUAGAGAAAUUGAUUAAUCAAUUAUUAGUAGUAUCAAUAACAAAAAAAUAAACUACUAUUGUUGUUUAUUCUUAUUUUUUAUUUCACUACAAAUAACAAUUGCUAACUUUUCUUUUUUAUGUGGUAUAAUAUGUUACUUUUAUUAUAAGUAGUUCAGUAACUACGAACUCUUAAUCAGGUGUUUUCUUUUUUGUUGAGUAACUACGAACUCUUAAUAAUAUGUUUUCUUUUUUAUGUGGUAUAUAAUAUGUUUUCUUUUUUAUUAUAAGUGUUUUCGUAAUCAGGUGUUUUCAGAACUCUUAAUAUGUUGAGUAACUUUUCUUUCUUUUUUUCAAUACAAAAUUUUUUAAUAAUAAAAUUAGGUGUUUGUGGCCGUAUAAUUAUCAAAUCUUUUAAUCUAUAAGAAAUAUAACUUUUUUGUUAUUUAUAUACAAAGAAUUACUAGUACAUAAAAUUUUAAACUGAGAGGUCACAUUUGCUAACUUCUAACUCGUGUGAGUUUUCAAAUAAAAAGGAUUUAUUCCUCGAUGAUAAAUGUCAAUGAAAAAACAAAAAUUAUUGUGUCCUCCUAAUUAAAAAAAAGCAAAUUUUGAAUAUAAUUUUCUAGGAAUUCGCAUUUAUCGAAGCUAAUUUACAGUAAAGCCAAAAGCCUACUAGUUCGGUUAACAUUUAUUGCCCCAAAUUAUUAUCAAGUAUUGAUGGCAAUAUUAUGGGAUUUUUUUUCCAGACCCCAUUAAUUUAGAGCCUUAACCGCUACAAUUUGUAGACACUUUCAUUGCAAAUUGUAAAUCAUUUUAUAAUUUGCAGUGAAAUCAUUUAUAUUGAGUAAAUGGCAUUACAACUGAAGUAAAAAUAAAAGUCAUGGCAAAAUAUGGAAUCUGGUUCGAGAAAUAUGACCUCGCAUUCCUUCAAUGCGAGGUCUUCUUUCUUUUUCUUUUUUUUUUUUGGAAAUUGGUGGCUGGAAAAUUCACGGAGAAUUCGCAUUCGGCAAAUGCGAUCUCAAUGAACUCGCAUUUGCAAAAUGCGAACAUCCCUUUUACAGAACCGCAAACAAUAAAUGCCCCAUUUGUAGAAUUUUUUAAAAAAUCAUCAUAAUAUUAGAAAUUUCUUGUGUUUGAUAAGGUAUUAUCUGACAAUGGUUUUUUUUAUUUCUAUAAUAUGAUGUAUGAAAAUUUAAAAAAAAAUGAUUGAAAAUAUUAAAAAUUGAAUUAAAAAAUGUGUUUACGAUACAAAUGAAAUAUUAUUUUAAAUAAUUUAAGUAUCCAAUCAUAUUUUAUAAAACCUUCGUAUAUUUCAUGAGAAGGUUAUUUAUAUAUUUUUAAAUCAUAUGAGAGUUAUAUGUUAAAACACCAAAUUACAGGAGGAUAAACAACAAUUAUCCAUCGCCAAUAUUUUUUGUGAAUAUAUUUCCCAAUAAUCGUUUUAUCUCAUAUACAUCAAAUCCCUAAAACACAUUUUAACAAAAUUAACAUUUUUCUAUAAAAAAAAUUCCAAAAAAAUAAAAAUUCAAACGCUUUUAAAUAUUUCUUACGACUGUACGCCUGUACCAACUACGAACCAUGCCAUAACAUUUAGCGCAAAUUUGCGUUGCAUCUGCUAAAUCAAUAAUCAACAAUCAAACAAUAAACAAAAAGAGGAAAAGAUUAAUACUUGAGCAAAUACAAAAAGUGCAAAUACUUUUGAUAUGCCGCCAAAAACUACCGCAUUUCACGAUCUGAUUUUCUCUAGCAAGUAGCUGAGACCAAAAAAACUCACACCAUGCGCUAAUGGGCUAACCAACAACGAAUCCAAAUCAACAAGAUUCUCAAUUCGACAAAUCAUUGACCUGACUUCCACAGUGAUAUCCCAGUAGAUAUUCAGCAUGACAUCAAACUUUUCCAUAAAUAACUUGUGUUGUUGUUUCUUAGUACAGAUCAGAGGUAACUUCACUAUGAAAUAACUUGUGUAAUAUUCGGACGUCUGUUGAUGAGACAUCGGUAUGCUCGGACCCUGGAUAUAAUAAGUGUGUUACUGAACACAACCAGUCAGGCCACUGUAAAAAGGAUAACUUCCGACAGAGAGUCUCAGAAGUCCAUUACUAGAAGCUU
rnacentral:lncRNA from 1 species